AUCACCUACUUGGAACCUUAAACUCAGUUUUAAAUUUGAAUACCUAAAAUUAAAUUCAAACAGAAAUUUGCAAAAGAAAACACGAAAACAUGGGAUGGUGCAGAUUCUUUCGUAGGUCGUAUCUCUCUCAACCCCGCCCCUUCUACCUUGCUUGUUGGGCCCAGAAGCACCUCACCGGCCCAACUCCGUGUCUCGCUGCACGCGCAACCGCACCUCAGCCUCCUGCUCGCGCGCACCGCAGCGCCGUCUGGGGCAGGUCCCGCCGUUCAGCCGCACACAUCACCAACCGCGUGAUGCUCAUGUGCCUUCAAUCACCGCCGCGUGGGACCCACACCGUCACCAUCAUCCCCUUUCCUCACUCCUCAGGUUGUUACGAGGCUACGUGCAGAUCUCGCCCUUCACCCCUUGUCGGAUUUCGCCCCAUCUGGAGAUCUCCCUGGGAAUAAAACCUGAUGCAUCAUCUCCUCCCGUCUCCCUCCAUCCAUAUGGCUCAAGCACGAGCGCCACACCAUCAUAGACUGCCACGCAAACCGAGAGGGCAGAGUCUGUUGCCAUGGCCACAUGAACAAAGAGAGAGAGAGAAAGGAACAUAGAGAGAGCAGAGAGUACAUCAGGGCAUGGAGAACAUGUAUACGGUGUCGAGGGUGCCAGGGUCGACCGGGACGCCAGUGAAUUCCUCGUCGGAUUUCAACAGUCGUCACCAAGCCGCCUCGCACGUGGUCACGAGUCUUCGUGUAGUAAUCUCCGGUCAAGGACAUGUACUACAAGAUGAGGAGCAUGAAGGAUGUCAUGGCUACUUAAAUCGGGUGUGACAAUUUAUUAUUUGUGAUCUCUUAUUUAUUUGGGUUGAUAUCUACUUAUACUUAGUAACUGCUAAUAAAACUUUGACCAACUUUAAAAGCAAUGUUCAGCUUUAACCAUCUUCUUUGGUAAACCUUACACUUCACAUGAGCCCCCAUUGUAAGUAAGCUCACACACAUUAUUUCUCACAACUUGUUGAACAAUGAACCAAGGUCUAUUUAGGUUGUAUUCAUUCGUUCCUUUAAUUUAUCUGGAUAUAUAUGGCUCGCUAUGUUGUGUUAUAUUCUAUGAACCAAGAUGCUACAGGCUGUGUGUUAUGUUCCUUCGAUUUCUACCUCCUUCCUUUCAGCGUACUAGCUACCUCUCUUUCUGCAGUCUCGACAACCAAGAUCGAUGUCUAUAUGAUGAUAAGUCAUGCAAUGCUCGCUGUUGUUUCAGCGACUGCUUAGUCCUUUUUAUUUCAGAUUAUAAUCUCUCUAGAUUAUAUAAUCAAGCGUAAAUAAUCUAGUAGGUAAAUAAACACCUAGAUUAUAAGUUCAGAUUAUAUAAUCUAAACUCCAUAUUAUGAUAAUCUCAUAAUCUCUUCAAGAGUAGCUUAUUUGAGAUUAUUUUGGUAAAAGACCCACUACCCAUGGUUUACCCAUGGUUAUGUAAAUAGAAAUUACAAUAUAUGCCAUACUUUUUUCUCAGCUAAAAUAAACAAAUAAGGGUAUUGUUGUCUUUAUGCAUAAUCUACAUUUGUAUAAUCUAAACUACCAAACAACUACAUGUAGAUUAUAAUAUAAUUUAGAUUAUAAUCUGGAUUAUAUAAUUUAGAUUAUAAUCUAGAUUAUAUAAUCUAUAAGCUGAAACAAACGGACCUUUGGUUGUGGCAAAUGGAAACAGCUGCUCUUGCUCGUAGAACUAGAGCCUCUAUCUACAGUUGUUGAACCUAAUGAUGGACCAACAGAGCUUGAGUACGUGCGACCAUUUCUCCUAAGGUAAUCUUUUUUCACAUUUGGCAGAUGCCGGCAUUUCCUCGUUGCAUUGCCAUGCAGUACUGAUGCGUCUCUAUCUAGCCUUUCUAAUGGGUGAGAGCAAAUACCAUGGUUUAUAUAUCAUCACUCUCCCUUCAUACACAGUCCAUAGUCCUGCCUUUAUAUAUCAACUACGUUGGACAGUUGAGCUAACGCUAGUUUCCUUAGCCAGGUUUCACAUAUAGUGUUAGUUCUGAUGUUUGUUUUUCGUUCUGCAGCAUUGCUCAUACUUUUCGUACCUUUUUUCGUUGAUGUGUAAUGGAUGUUUUCCAUUAAUAAAUGGAAAAAGGGGUCAACCUGGUUAAAAAAUAUUAUUUAUAUUAUAUAAACGAUCAUUUGUUGUCUACAAGCACAAAGCAAAUGUACGGGUAUUUUUGUGAUGUUGGUUCCAGUAUUACUAACAUCUCUCUCUCACACACACGAGCUGGAGGAUGAAGAAGAGGAGAACAUAGCACACACAAGGAGAUGAGCUACUAACUUGUUCGGCUGUAGCAUGCCCACUACUUGGAAGCUUGCUGCCUAUUACAUGUACUAUUCUACAUACCUACUACAUAGUACUACACCAUGCUUCUACUACUACUGUCCUAUUGACAGCAAAAGGGAGGGAACGGUCACAAUACACAUGUUUCUAAGAUGUAACGAUGCGAGGGAGAUGGAGCAGCAGAUUAUCUAACAAUCCUUCCUCCAUUACUGCUGCUACUCCUUAUUCUCGGUCAUGCCGAUUCUAGCCUGAAGCUCCGGGAACUGAACGCAUCCGAGUGGCUUAGUGAAGAAGCCCGUGAGCAGUCGGGGUAGACCAUGUGCGAGAGGCGCACAACAACGUAGUUGACGAUGAUGUAGGGGCAACGACGAGGAUGAAGACAGGCGAAGGCGGCGCUGCUGCCCGAGGAGGCGACACAACGGCAACCCUUGUACUUGGAGAGGCGUGCACUAGACGACAUAUAUCAGGGGAGGAUGGUUGCACACGAUCAAUUAAUCAGGUCGAAAGCGUGCGAGGUAGAGACGACGAUGGCAAAAGCAAUGUCGAAGGCGGAGCCUCCUGAUCGACGGUGGCGAGGAUGAGCUGGCUUAGGUCGACAUGCAGGCGAACAGGCGUGACACACACGUGCGUUUUAGGUACGCCAUAGGCCACAUGAUGUGAUGCGUUCGAAGAAGAUAAAGAGGCCAGUGUUGUCGACGUCGAAGACACAUGCGAUCAACAGGUGGUGGGCGCAAACCCGAUCCACCAACCGAGAAGAAUAAAAGGACUCACAGAUUUGGGCACAUCACCGGGUACUCGUAGCUAGUUCAUUUUCCCAACUCAGUUCAUCCUCCUCAUCCUCGAUCAAAAAGUUAGAGAAAGAGAUAGCCCGCGAGUAGAAAGGCUCGACCUGGUUGACAGGGUGGGGGCGCACGGCUCGGCCCAGCCGCCACCUUGGCAUGCAGAGGGGGUGCCCGCCAUGUGUAGCCUGGUGGCGGCAUAGCAGGCUGCCACUAGCACUCGAAUGUGAUGGAAUUGUGCCCUCCCGACAAGACUAGGCGGCAUAGAUCUAGGGGUUGGGGUGACAUAGCCUAUGGGUCUGAGCGGCCUCUCCAUAGUGUGAGGAACCCAGGUCUAGGGUUUCGCCCACCCUUGGAUCUGUGCCCAGGUAUGGUUUCCCCUCUCCCUAGGGUUCAUCCGACGUGAGGUUUCCCCCUUGGCCGAAUCAAACAAGAACCCUAAAUCACACAGGUAUGUGGUGGUGCUGGAUUUCUGUUUUAUUUCAUUCAUAGCUUCUCCAUUACAACUGCUCAGAUUUAUAGCAGCCCAAGUGGCUCUAACUGCUAAUCAGUUAUUACAGCUGGAUUACAGCUAGAUGACAGAUCUAAUCUGUUAUUACAGCUAAAUGCCAGCAGCUUACAGCUGUAUUAUUCUAUCCCCUCUGUACUCCUUGCCUGCAUCUAUGCAUUCCUGGUAGGGUCAUGACACAUAGCCGUCACCACGACGGCGUACCGAGGGUAGGCAUGGAUGUUGUAGCUCCCCGCAGCUGUCACCAUGAUGGCAUGCAGAAGGGACGGCAUGUUCCAACCAGCAUGAGAGCCCAAACAACCACUAGGAUGAGUGGAGAAAUCGUUUCAGUGACAAAGCAUCGUCGAUGGAAUUGUGUAAAAUGUCUAAAUAGAGUGAAAAGUCCAGGCCCCACAACUACAUCUGAAACUGUUUCAAUACAACAGGAUGGAACUAAUGAUGGUUGCUCUAUUUCAAUAGUUCGGACUUUGCCUAAUAAUUCUGAUUCCAGAAGACUGUUUUCUUGGACACAACAAUCAUCUCAAGGGAAUGAUCAAUCAACCCUUUCAAAGAGUGCCCAAGAAUGCAAUUCAAAAUGCAGCUCUCCUUAUGGCAGUAGAGCAGUUACUACAGUGAAUGUUCCAGACACAUUAACUGAAGCAAAUGUUCCAGACACAUUCACCGAAGGCAGUGUUCCAGCAACAGAAGGUUUAUGGAGCUCUUUCAAUAAUAUUGAUGUAUCAGCAAAUAUCCUGAAUGAUGUCUCCAUGGAUAUCAGUGAUUUACCUGAUGAUGUUUCUCGAAUGAUAUCAAGCAUAGAAGAAAAUGGCACACAGAAUCUACACGGUCCAAAACCUUGUGUGGUGUCAAUUGAAGAUGAUAAUAGAACAGCUCAAGAUGUUCCUAGUGAUGACUGCAAUGAGCCUAAUGCUCGUAAACCGAAAUCUGGGCACAAUGUCUCUAAACAAAUAUCUGCGCACAAAACCAACCAAGUCCGCAACCAGGUUCCACUUCAAGCAUCUUUAAAAAGGAAUGUUGGAUCUGUUGAUAAGAAGAAAAGGGACCAAUCUGCCAACUUAGCUGAUAUUUCAGAUCUCAAAUUUUGUCAGAGGAAGCCAAAAAGAUGAGGCGGUUAUCAGAGCUCAUAGGCACUGACCAGGUAGGAAAUACCAUUUGAGGUAGGAAAUAAUAAUAGCACUCCUGUUAGCAAUCAGAAAGUGGGUGAAACGCAAUCAAGAGCUCCCAAGAACAUUGUGAAUCACACAGUAGGGAUGGUUGGUGUUGGAUCUUCUCUAAUGAACUGGAUGAAAAACACUCAUAAUAAGAAAAUCAGAGCACAGAAAAAGGACACAGGACACAAGAAUCUUGAUUCUUGUGCUGUUUCAAACUCUAAUCCAGACACAGUCGCUUCUAGUGUUGGCGAUAUGGGGCAGGAGAAGAUGCUAUCUACUAGCAACGGCAAGCAUGGGAAUGAAAACACACAGAAUAACAACCUGGAGCAAAAUAUGCAGAAUGUGGAUGACCUGUGCCAAAAUGAAUCAGGGAACUUGAAACGGGGGUUCUCAAAUGGAAAAAAUCAAAGAUUUUGCUAAAGAGAAAGGUACUGUCAACUGCGAUUUCCCGUGAUGAGAACACUGAGAAUAAUAAUACUAUAAAUAAAAGUAUGCUCAGGUCUCAUGAUUUGCAUCAAAUGGAAUCUGAAGGCACGAUGCAGAGAUGUGUGGCAAAGGGUUGUACGCAGCUUGGCACACAAAUUCAAGUGUCAUACACACAAAUAGCUAGUUUGGGAUAGCAGGUGAGCGAAACAGCGAGUCCCAAAUGACAUACACCUUAUUGAGAAACUAUCGAAGAGCUAACAUGCGCCGGAUGGAACUUGGAACGCAAGCUCUCGGUUCACAGCAUGGUCAAUACAAUGUUUCACCCAGCACAUCACACGGAAGCUACACAGACCUCUGCGCCCUCACUCUCGAGUAGGUGUGCUCGGUUCGUUGCUGCAGCAGGACAUUGCAAGCUGGUCUGGUCUGAGAACCGUGGGACGCAGCACAGCCUAGGCGUGUCUAGACGGACAACACCGCCUGCUGAAUGCUGAUAUGGACCUGCAGUUGGGUUCUGCUAGCUCUUCUGUUCCCGACCCAAAGCAGCAUCGAUUGCCAAGGCAUGGUGGUACCAGGCAACCUCAGUGGCAGCUGAUUUCACUGUAAUUAGCGACAAGAACAAGUAUAUGAGAAGGAUUUGAGGUAGAGAGGAGUGUUGUAGUUGGAGAACAGGUACAUUUGACUCUGUCAAGCAAGUAUCAUCUGUAGAGGUAUAGAGAUGUGUGGUUGUGCCCUGCCAUGAAACAGCUAGACAGCUAUCUGUGCCAGCAAUGGGUUCGAAGUCAUAGCAGAGUCAGUGUAGCCGCCCACGCGGUGGCAAUCCGAGUGGUCGGUGGCGGAUGCCUUUUAAAAGGAAGGGGGCGUGCGUGUUGCGCCGGGCGAGGCAGACCGCAGACGGUCAAACAAACAAGUCAGGUAGCCAGCGUGGUCGUUCGCGACACAGCAUUCGGCAGCAUGGGCGCGGUUGAGCCGCCGGCGUGGAUGUCCGCCGCGGCGCGCAGGUGGCUGGAGAACGCCGGCGCCACGGCGGAGGACACCCCGGGCCGGGCCUUCAACGCGCUGCCGCUCUCCGGCGUGCGCGUGUCCCUCGCGGAGCGCGGCCGCGCGCUCUGCUCGCUCCGCGUGCCGCCCCACCUCACGGACGCGGAGGGGAACUGGCACGCGGGCGCCAUCGCGGCGGCGGCGGACGACGUGUGCGCCGCGGCCAUCAUGUCCGUGGAGGGCAUCAUCAAGGUCUCCGUCCACUACGACAUCUCCUACUUCACACCGGCCAAGCUCCAUGAUGAAGUGGAGAUGGAUGGGCGGGUGGUGGAGCACAAAGGGAGGAUGACGGCGGUGGUGGUGGAGAUCCGGAAGAAGAAAUCCGGCGAGCUGGUGGCUAUCGGGAGGCAGUGGAUGACGGCCUCCAGGCCCAAAGGCGCUGCUGCUCACAGCAAGAUCUGAACUGAAGCUUCUUCCUUCCUUCCUUCCUUGGGUUUCCUUUCCUACCUCGAAAACUACUGCUCUCGAGUGAAUUGAACUGGCUGUAAUUACUAAUUACUGGGGAAAAACACGGUUUAGGUUGCUGUGAUUUGUUACUGGCGUCCCCUUUAAAUCAAUCAGCAAGAUGCAAUCGCAGCGAAGCUCUGUUGUGCGUUGCUAGCCUGCCUAGGAUCCUCUUGCUGCCGGGCUAUAUCGAGCUCGCGCGCUAGCUCAUGCACCCGAGCAAUUCGCUGACGCCCGAGACUUACUUUUUCUAGUGCUGCUAUCAAAGCCUAGUCAGCUGGAAUAACUCUAGCUUAUGUUAUACCCAAAUAAGGCCUUGUUCGGUUAUUCCCAAUACACAUGGAUUGGAUGGGAUUGGAAAAAAUUCUUAAGAAGUUUGACUUGUUUGGGAUUCAAACUCAUCCAAUCCCACUUAAUCCACAUGGAUUGAGAGCUAACCGAACAAGCCCUAAUUGAGUUUGUACAAUGUACAUGAAUUGGGAAAUAUAAAAGGUUUAUUUGACUA